ACAAGCUAAUCAAGAUCUUCUGGAUUAUUGAAAAGUAAGUCUGUUCAGGCUUGGAGCUAAAAACUGCACGAAAGUGGACCUCGCGGGCCAAAGUUAAGAACUUCUACACCUGUUACCAUAGGCCUGGGGAAAAUACUCACCGCAAAUUGAACUGACGUAGCAGACAGAGGGCUGUGGGCUGUUUUGUCCCAGGUGGUGGAGGGGGAGGAUCACGUCAUGCUGUACUUCAGCCGGGAAGCUGUCAGUAAGGAAGACCAAGUACAGCACAAUCGAGAAGAUGGGUCCCGCCAUAGAGUGGGCAGUCCUAACCCUCCAGUAUUACCUACUGGGGUGCACUUUUACCCUCUGUUCCGAUCACACCCUGCUCCAAUGGCUCCAUCGCAUGAAGGAUGCCAUCACGCGGAUCACUUGUUGGUAUCUUGCACUCAAUGGCUCCUUGACCUGCGUAGGGCAUCGGGGGUAUGUGGCAGUGGGGGCGUUGUUGAGAUUCAGCUGUAAACGGAGAGGAGUGACUCCCGUAACCGGCGAGAGAGACAGAAAGCGUGAUAUAGCUGACACCCAUACACCCAUACACACACUGCGGAGAGUGAACUUGACCUGAUGGAGCAAUAGUCUGUUUUCUGUUGUUGUCCUGUUUUGUUCAGUUUUUUGAAAGUGUGCUGUAAGGUCUGGACUGAAUAAACAUGAGCCCAGAGCUCAGCUAAAAUUC